rnacentral:rRNA from 1 species
ACGUACACUCCUGCGGGAGGCAGCAGUGGGGAAUAUUGCACAAUGGGCGCAAGCCUGAUGCAGCCAUGCCGCGUGUGUGAAGAAGGCCUUCGGGUUGUAAAGCACUUUCAGCGGGGAGGAAGGCAAUGCGGUUAAUAACCGUGUUGAUUGACGUUACCCGCAGAAGAAGCACCGGCUAACUCCGUGCCAGCAGCCGCGGUAAUACGGAGGGUGCAAGCGUUAAUCGGAAUUACUGGGCGUAAAGCGCACGCAGGCGGUCUGUCAAGUCGGAUGUGAAAUCCCCGGGCUCAACCUGGGAACUGCAUUCGAAACUGGCAGGCUUGAGUCUUGUAGAGGGGGGUAGAAUUCCAGGUGUAGCGGUGAAAUGCGUAGAGAUCUGGAGGAAUACCGGUGGCGAAGGCGGCCCCCUGGACAAAGACUGACGCUCAGGUGCGAAAGCGUGGGGAGCAAACAGGAUUAGAAACCCGAGUAGUCCCAUGAU